GACGAACGCUGGCGGCGUGCCUAAUACAUGCAAGUAGAACGCACAGUUUAUACCGUAGCUUGCUACACCAUAGACUGUGAGUUGCGAACGGGUGAGUAACGCGUAGGUAACCUGCCUGGUAGCGGGGGAUAACUAUUGGAAACGAUAGCUAAUACCGCAUAAUAUUAAUUAUUGCAUGAUAAUUAAUUGAAAGGUGCAAUUGCACCACUACCAGAUGGACCUGCGUUGUAUUAGCUAGUAGGUGAGGUAACGGCUCACCUAGGCGACGAUACAUAGCCGACCUGAGAGGGUGAUCGGCCACACUGGGACUGAGACACGGCCCAGACUCCUACGGGAGGCAGCAGUAGGGAAUCUUAGGCAAUGGACGAAAGUCUGACCGAGCAACGCCGCGUGAGUGAAGAAGGUUUUCGGAUCGUAAAGCUCUGUUGUAAGAGAAGAACGGGUGUGAGAGUGGAAAGUUCACACUGUGACGGUAUCUUACCAGAAAGGGACGGCUAACUACGUG
rnacentral:rRNA from 1 species